UACGAAGGGGGCGAGCGUUGUUCGGAGUUACUGGGCGUAAAGGGCGCGUAGGCGGCGAUCCAAGUUAGGCGUGAAAGCCCCGGGCUUAACCUGGGAAUUGCGCUUAAGACUGGACUGCUUGAGUGCGGGAGAGGUGAGUGGAAUUCCUGGUGUAGCGGUGAAAUGCGCAGAUAUCAGGAAGAACACCCGUGGCGAAGGCGGCUCUCUGGGACGGUACUGACGCUGAGACGCGAAAGCGUGGGGAGCGAACAGG
rnacentral:rRNA from 1 species